ACGCUCGACACCUACUGGAGGCAGCAGUAGGGAAUCUUCCACAAUGGACGCAAGUCUGAUGGAGCAACGCCGCGUGAGUGAAGAAGGUUUUCGGAUCGUAAAGCUCUGUUGUUGGUGAAGAAGGAUAGAGGUAGUAACUGGCCUUUAUUUGACGGUAAUCAACCAGAAAGUCACGGCUAACUACGUGCCAGCAGCCGCGGUAAUCUGAGCGGCUGGCAAGGC
rnacentral:rRNA from 1 species